UAACCUACUUAGCGAUAAGUAGCUGAACCAUCAGAAGUCAGCCGAUGUCAUAGUACAAAUCGGUCUAGAACGAUUUGGAAGGAC
rfam:Bacillus circulans strain RIT379 contig72, whole genome shotgun sequence.